AGGGAGCGCUAGAGCUUUCUUGGUAGUUAAAAGUCUAAGAUUCAUUUUCUUUCAUGAUUAAAUCUGUGUUAGUUAAGGAUCUUUUCUGGAAUGGUAGCCCAGUGUGACAGAAAGAUAUUUAAGAAAAUCUGUAACAGUGAUGGAACUGAUAAUUAAUGAUGCUUUUCAGGAAAAUCUCCGAUCAGGUGAUUAUUUUUCUUUAAGCUUGACUCUGACACUCCAAAGUUAGAUCCUCAUAGUCAGGCCAGGUCUGAAGUUUUGCCCUGGAUAGGUUACAUCCACCCUUUCUAAGCCCAGGUAUAUCAGACCUCACACUGUCCAUGUUACAAGAUGCUGUGCCUUCCUGGAUACUGGAUUUCCCAAAACCCUAUCCAUCUAUAAGCCUUCUUACCAGCCUCACAGUGCCUCUUUACAGUGGACUGUCUCAGGAACUCACACAUAAUUCUGUGCCUGCAGGGAACUUCCCAACACAGAUGUCCAGGAGCAAAGCUAUUUAAAAUCACCUGCUUGAGAACAGGAACUGAACCUUUGUACAGCAAUGGAGAGCACUGCAAUCAAGUAGGGGCUCUAAGGGAAAGAAACAUGUUGUGAAAGUGUCCAAGGGACUCCAUCCCAGGAUACCUGCUGUUCUCUCCAAGAGGCCCUCGCCAUGGGUUUCAAAGGAGGUGAGAAUUAUCUGCCAGGACUCAGCAGGAGAAUCCAGUGCCUAAGACAUCAUCCCAAGGGAAUGCUAGAGAAGAUGGGCUACUGCUAUUCCCCUGUGUGAUGAAGCCAGCACAGCGCUGGGGACGUCAUCCAGGAAAGCCAGGGCUACAAAAGGAGGACGCACAGAGCAUGGGAGCCAUGCGCAGCCACGGGGAUGACACUGAAGAUGAGAGCAGCAAGUUCACUGACAAUGUUGAGGAAGAGGCCGCACGUGGAAGAGCCAGCAGCAGUGACAUUGGUGCCAGGUUCUGCCAUUCCCUUCUGAGAUCUGGUGCGUCUGGCAGCUGAUGGGGACCUGGAAUGACAAAGCACCUGUGAAGUCACUGGGCAUACUCUGUGACCCCGACAGACAACAGUUCUUGCUCUCAUGAAGGCUGCCUCCUAUUACAUGAGCGAAACCUGAACAAAUAAUAAGUUAAGUGCAUUAUGCUUACAAUUUAAAAUUCUGAUGAGUGUGAUUGUUUUGUCCUGUGUUCCCAGGUCCCAGUUUAUCAUCUACUGACUUAAAACUGGCUGGUGGUAAUUCACAUAGCUGUAGAACCCACAAUAACACGUUUCCUAUUGUCAUGGUCCUCAUUUCUUUUCCAUAUGGUGUAAGGAAAUUUUGCUUUUCUUUCAAAGGCCACCUUGAACACAAGAGGUUCUGAGACUCAGGAUGUUUUGAGACCAAGGUUUUUAAUUGUGGUGCUGUAUCCAAGUAGCUGUGGAGAUAUAGGCAAGUCUAAUCCUUCCUGAGCCUUGAUUGUCUUCCUGAAAAAUAAGGAAGCUGUUGUAGGUCUGUGAGGUCACUUCAUGCUCUGGGGUGUGUCUGAGUCAAUUAUGGAAUAAGAUGUCUGUAAUAGAGAUCAGUAACAACUGUGGUCAAGAGCAUACCCAACCCUGAUUAUGUUUCCUUCAGGAGCAUCUCGCUGAACCUUUGGCCUGAGAAUGCAGAACAAAAAGAGCAUAAUAGGAGAUGCAGUGCCUGGUGGGUGGGAGAUCCAAGAAGACAAAGAGAAGAAUGAGGUGACAGUAGAUCCUGGGGUCACAAAAGUGGGUCUGAAUGAGUGUACCUUCAGGCUGAGUUCGGGAAGGUCCAGAGAAAAGCAAAGAAUGUGCACAGCAUCAUCACCCUCCCUAAAUAGCAACUGGUACUGAGCAGCAAGGAAUGAGAUAGUGCCCUUAUCCAGAACUCCUUGAGUAUCUGAACAAGGAGAUCGACAGAAGGAAUGCAGCCCUGCUUUGUUCUCCCAAGGAAGACCUAUGCCAAGAAGAGGGGAUGUGCACAGGAGGCCUUACUCCAGACCCCAGAGCCUUGACCCUGGAACUGCCCUUCCAGCGAUGCCCAUCAGCCUCUGAGCACAUGGUUACUGAGUGCUCCUACCUAGCUGUUACUGGUGCUGUUAUGUGCUGUUGAUGCAGAGUUGAAUGAAAUGUUACCCCAGCUCUCCAGGAGCUCCACCUGGAAAACAAGAAACUGCCAAAAGGCACGGGAAGUGCUGUGACAGACAUAUGACUUGAGUCCACGGUGGAGGGGGAGUGUUCACCUUGGUGUAUGGACACUGAUGCAGUUCUUUGAAGUCCUGUUCGACUAUUUCUGCUUUUCCAAAUAUGUAGAUUCAACACUAUUUAAAGAUUUAUGUUUUUAUUUGACAGAGUAUUGGAGAUGUAGCGAUGGAGGGGAAGAGAGAGAGAGAGAUGGAGUUCUUGGUUCCUGGCUUUGGUCUGGUCCAGAUGUGGGUGGAAGGGGCCCAAGUACUUGAAGUAUCAUCCACUGCUCCCCAAGAUAUUUUGACAGGGAUCUGGAUCAAAAGCAGAGUGGCCAUGACUGGAACAAGGACUCUGAUAUGGGAUGUGGCCUUCCCAAGUUGUUGUUUAACCUGCUGGAAAAUGGCAUCUGCCCUCCCCCAAAACACUGUUAAAUCAUAGUAAUAUGUUAAGAGCAUCAUGCUUUCAGAAUGAAAGAAUUUCUUGUCCACAGCUCCUGUGCCCAUCCUUGGUAUAGAAGGCCCAUGUCACUGUCAUACUUGAGAUACAUGGACCUGUGUGGAAAAGACACAGGACAUUGUAGGAUUUGAAUUCUGGAUCUGUCUUUGCUAGUCUGAGUGACCUAGAAUAAGCCACCUUACCUCUCCCUGAGUGUAGGUCUCACCAUCAGUAAAAGCAGGCAACUGCACCUAACUUGCAGGGCUGUUGAAAAGCUAAGAAGCACUGCAUCUUAAGGCCUGAUACAGUGCCAGGGCUGAAAACAGUACAGCUUCAACUUUGCCUCUAGUCAUUAUUGUCCUUGUGACAAACCUGCCUUCUCCCAAGUAUAGAAGUCACUGCAGAAUAUUCAACAUUUUCUUUUUUAUAAGAUUUAGAUUUACUUGAAAGUCACAGUUAUGCAGAGAGAGGAGAGGGAGAGAAAGAGAUCUUCCAUCUGCUGGUUCACUCCUCAGAUGGCCACCACGGCCAGAGCUGUGCUGAUGCAAAUCUGGGCGUUGGGAGCUUCUUCUGGGUCUCCCACGUGGGUGCAGGGACCUGAGCCCUUGGGUCAUCUUCAACUGCUUUCCCAGGCCAUAAUAGAGAGCUGGAGAAGAAGUGGAGCAGACAGGACUCGAACUAGUGCCCAUAUGGGAUGCCAGCACUGCAUGCAGAGGCAUUACCCACUAUGUCACAGUGCUGGCACCAUAUUCAACUUUUUCUGAAGAAGGUAUAUUUGUUUUCAGAGGGUGAGGAGCAUGAUACCCUCAGGACAUUGGUUCUCAUGGAAAGGCCAUGCUCUGUGCAUCUGGGCUCAGCACAGGCCACUGCCCUGGGAAAAAGCCCUUGGAAAGCCAGCUAAGGGAGCAAGAAGAGCUCCAGUCAAGUAGAAAAUCAGAAAUCAUCUCUGCUCUGCAAAGGGACAUCUUAACAUCAGAUUUAGAGUGCCAGCGAGGUCAUUAGAAACCUCAGGAACCAGGUGUGGUGCCUGUCAGUUACAAAUGAUUAUUUGUUUAGUCUGGAAAGACCCCAGAAGUUGAGUUCUAUUGCCUCCUUCAUGAGAUAUUCUGUGAUGAGAACAAGGGAUGGCUGUGUGGUAGCCCCACACUUUUCUUUCUUUCUUUUUCUUUUUUUAGAUUUAUUCAUUUGUUUGUUUGAAAGUCAGAACUUUAGAAUUAUUUUUCUAGUUCUGUGAGGAAUGUCAUUUACAUCUUGAUGGUAUUCAAUUGAGUCUGCAAAUUGGUUUGAGUAGUAUAAAUAAGUUAAAAAUACCAAUUCUCCCAACUAUGAACAGUAGUGGUUCUCCAUUAUUUGUUUCUUCUAUAAUUUCUUUGAUUCAGAUUUUCUAAUUUUCCUUGUAGAGAUCUUUUACAUUCUUAUUUCAAUUUAUCCCAAGGUAAUUUGUUCUUUUUGAAGUCAUUGCUCUUAUUAUUUUCAUAUCAAACUUCUACUUGUUGGUUGUUGCUUUCUUAUCCUGCAGCUUCACUGAAGUAGUUUGCCUAUUCUAACAGUCUUUGAUGUAGAUGUUAGGCUUUUCUACAUAGAGACUCAUGUCAUCUACAAAUGGAGAUGUUUUAACUUCUCCUUUCCUAUUUGUAUGCCUUUUGUUUCUCUUGCACAAUUGCUCUGACAGAAACUUCUUGUACUAUGUUGGAUAAGAGUGGUGACGGUAGACAACCUCAUCUGGUUCCAAAUCUUAGCUGAGAUUUUUCCAACAUUUCCAUUCGCUAUGACAUUGACUGUGGGUUUGCCACUUACUACCUUUAUUAUGUUGAAGUAUGUUCCUUCAAAAUCAAAUUAAUUCAGGGCUUUUAUUUUGAAUGGAUAUUGAAUGUGGCAAAUGCUUUUUCAUUAUCUACUGAGAUGAUCAUAUAACUUUAAUCUUUUGUUCCAUUGAGGUAAUAUGUGAUAUGUAUGAUUUCUGUUUUGAACCAUCCUCACAUCCCUGGGAUGAAUCUCACUUGUUUGGCACAGUGAUCUUUUUAAAUACGGUGCUGUAGUCAGUUUUCUAGCAGUUUAUUGAGAAUUUUUGCAUCUGUGUUCAUGAGAGAUGUUGGCCUAUAGUUUUCAUUUUUGUGGUGAUGCUUUGUCAUUGUCCAGUUUUGAAAUAAAGGGAAUUCUGACCUCAUGGAGAACUUGUUAGGAAGGAUUCCCUUGCUCUACAUUGCUUUGAAUCAUUUCAGAUAAAUUGCUGUUAGUUCAUCCUUAAAAGUUUGGUAGUACCUGUUAACCAGGUUAGUAACAUCAGUUGUUACUAAUACAGUUACAAACAUCACAAAAUGGAUGGAAGAAUCUACGUCAUUGGAAUUAGAAAUCCAACACAGUUGUCAUGGUACUGGAAACACCUCCACAUUUAUUUCAAACUUUUUUUUAGUUGUUUUGGAGAUUAAAUAAAAAGCACACAUUUUGUUUUCAUUAUGUUAUUGCUUUCUCUUGAUUUUUCAAAUUAAGUUUACAAAGGAAUUUAAAUAGAUAGAAGGAAACUUUAAAGUAACCUCAUUCAUGUAUAGAGGAAGAACAUACAGAUAAUAAAAACUCAAAAGGCAGUUCCUCUAAGCCAAAUAUGCCCAAGGGAGAGAGAAUGGGUUGUAGUGAAGCAGAAGGGGAACAUAGUUAGGAGAUGUAUCACUAACCCAAAUGAGCGCCUUGGAGUCAUCAAAGAUGGGAUUCUGAGCAGCAGAGUUUUGUUCAGUCUUCGUACUUCCUUAGAAAUGAUUUACCAUCUCUGGCAAGUUAACCUGAAACUUAGCUGAUCCACGAGGUUGGAAGACAUUAGAAUCCAGAGCCUAUUGAAUGAGUCUAGUGUUAUUCUGGACCUUAGGAGAGAAAAGUGGACGAUAAUAUGCUAUUGGUAGAAUAAGGGGAACGAACAGAAUCAACAAUGUUUCUAAAAAGAAUAAAUGACAAUGAGAAUUGAGUUUUAGGAAAGAAAAAAGGGUAUAGUAUCUUGGUACACUGGGGUUGUUCUCUGAAACACCUUCAUCCCAAACCAUAUUCCCUUCCAUAUCAUCCUCCCUGUAUUCAUUUCAAACUAUGACCCCUAAACCUCCAUAACCUCAUUUUUAGUUCUAAGCUCUAAUAAGAUGUAUGAAUUGAAAGAUAUUUCAUAUUCUCAUUCAGUGACAAAACCUUAUAGAAGAGGCGAGAGACUAUGCAUUGUCUUUAUUUACCUGCAUUAUGAGAAUGUUCACAUAUUUCCUUGCCGACAUUAUGUGUUUGGCUAAAUGUUCUGGCUCUGAUGCAGUGAAGUACAAGUACUGCAUGGCUUAUGUGGUAUUUACAUCCUAUUGCCUUGCUAAAGACCAAGAAGAUCUGUCUUUGAAAAUACAUUUGACUUUCAUAAUUUCAGAUACAACAUUGUGGCCGUGAAGCUUUACACGUACGUAUAUGUCCCUGGAUAUACUCAUUUUGCUACAAGCAUCGAUAUGGCACUGACUCUCGGUCCCUCACUUGACGUGAGGGUAGAAACCAGUGAGCAAUUAAGCUCUCAACUGGCAAAGAGCCAACGAGAAUCAAAAGAACUGAAGGAGAAGCUUCUUAGAGCUGAGGCUAAGGCCUACCUCCUGGCAAAGCACCUGCGGGACCACAAUUGUGAAGAGUAUGAAGAUCUAAUUGAAUCAAUGCUGAGGGAGAAGCCGCACUUCCUGGAGGGGCAGCUGGCAGAGGAGCUGCUACCUGCGGAGAAUCUCAAGAAAUGUGGUGUUCAAAUUCAAGAGCAGGCCCAAGAGCUGACCCAAUUACAGCAGAAGUUACAGGAAGGGAGAGCUCUUUCUCAGCUCAUUCAUCAAAAUCUCCAGGCCCUCCUCACCCCAGCAGGACCCUGACAGCUGCCAGAGCCGGCAACUACUCACUGAGCUGCUCAAGCUGACAGAGCACCUUGUUGCCAAACUCAGCACAGUCAACCAGACAUCUGGGAACCAGGAGGAGCCUUACGUGGACUCUCCCCAUACCC